AAGUCGUAACAAGGUUUCCGUAGGUGAACCUGAGCUUGGGGAAACCAGACCACUUGCACAAGCGCUCGAAUUGCAGCUGUCGGUGUUAGAGGUCCCUGAAUCAAAAUCUGUUCAACAAUGAUUUACCAGGGAUUGCAAACUUACCGGCAUCUGCAAGAGCUGCGAUAAAAUUCACAGGGGGGUUUAACGUUGGAUACGUGUUAAUGAUCCUUCCGCGCCAGUGUCUGAAAGUGUCGCUGGUUGUGUAAGGAAAACGCUUUACGAUCACUGGAGGCCGACACGGCCGGUGACCGGGCUGCUGUGGCUAUAUGCCCCCUAUAUUUAGCCCACUACCUGUCGCAGGAAACUGCUUCCCCUUAAAUCUGAACAACUGUUAACAAUGGAUAUCUUGGUUCUC
rnacentral:misc_RNA from 1 species